rnacentral:rRNA from 1 species
AUUGAACGCUGGCGGCAGGCCUAACACAUGCAAGUCGAGCGGAUGAAGGGAGCUUGCUCCUGGAUUCAGCGGCGGACGGGUGAGUAAUGCCUAGGAAUCUGCCUGGUAGUGGGGGAUAACGUCCGGAAACGGGCGCUAAUACCGCAUACGUCCUGAGGGAGAAAGUGGGGGAUCUUCGGACCUCACGCUAUCAGAUGAGCCUAGGUCGGAUUAGCUAGUUGGUGGGGUAAAGGCCUACCAAGGCGACGAUCCGUAACUGGUCUGAGAGGAUGAUCAGUCACACUGGAACGGAGACACGGACCAGACUCCUACGGGAGGCAGCAGUGGGGAAUAUUGGACAAUGGGCGAAAGCCUGAUCCAGCCAUGCCGCGUGUGUGAAGAAGGUCUUCGGAUUGUAAAGCACUUUAAGUUGGGAGGAAGGGCAGUAAGUUAAUACCUUGCUGUUUUGACGUUACCAACAGAAUAAGCACCGGCUAACUUCGUG